rnacentral:tRNA from 1 species
UGGCUCAGAUGGUAAAGCGUCUGCCUACAGUGCGGGAGACCCAGGUUCAAUUCCUGG